rnacentral:misc_RNA from 1 species
GAACACACGCAUACGCGAGUCAGUGACAGAAAUGGAUCAUUGUUGAAAUCAAGUCAAUUUUAAAAAUAUUAAGUUAAAACUCAUGAAAAUAUUUUCUAAAAUUCAGUACAUCCAUUAAUGUGAAACCGGCAAUCACACAUAGUAAAUACAAUACAAUCAAACAAUGAGAAGCUGGUAUGCCCAAACAGGUGAGCAAAACCAUAAAAAUAAAAUAAAAUAAAAUUAAUGGCUCAAACAACUCAUAAGAGACGCAGGUAAGAUCAUGAACUUUAAUAUGGAGGUUUAGUUUCCAGCUGGUGGUGGGGAGAGGAAUGGUAUGGAGGUAAUUGUAGUUGGGAUAUUAGGGAUUGAGGGGAAGCUUGGCAAUGGAGGCAGGGUUACCUUUGGGGCAGUAGGCAUGGUGGGCAAGCUUGGAAGUGGAGGCAGAGUGGGGUUAGGCAAAGAAAGUUGUGUAGUUGGUGAGAUUGGCAAUGUGGGCUGUGGGAGAGCUGGAAUCGCGGGCAAUGGGGGCAAUGUGGACUUUGACAAAUUGGGCACUGAAGGCAAAGGUGGUAAUUGCAAAAGAUUGCGGGCUGCUAAGCCAAUAUCCACGCUUGAAAAUGACAAAACAAUGAAGAAAGAAAGGAUGAAGCAAUUGAAAGAAGCCAUCUUUUAAGUUGAAGUGUUGUAAAAAGGAAGGAGUAGUUUGUUGUUAUGUUUUUGAAUGAGGAAAGCAAAGUGUGAUUUGGGCUUUUUAUAUAGCUGAAGAUUCAUUCAGCUUGGCCAUUGUUAGUUCACCUUCUCAUGAAGUGUUUGGGGUCUUGGCAGUUGAUCUUUUGUGAUCUAAUUGGUGGGUUAUCUAACAUUGAGUUCCUCAAGAAGUGAUUGCAAACUAAAGUCACAAUGUAAUAAUAAUUUACAAAAAUUCAUCAGAGAACCAAUUACUUAAAUAUAAAAAUAAUAAUAAUUCGAUUAGUUGUGAUGGUAUAGAAUCUCCAUCUAGUUUGAACCACAUUUGCCUGAAGAUUUUUCAUUGUAGGAAAAUUAUCUGCGGAUGGUUUACAAAAUUCACAAUUCGAAGGAGUCUCAAGUUGUGCAUUUUGUUUUCCUUUCUAUUACGAGAGCUAUCCAAUUUUCGAGUAUUCAAGGCAAAUCAUUUAAAUCAAAACUCAAAUAAUCAAAUACCCAUUUUAUUAGUUUUAUUCCAAAGACGGGACAAAGUUAAAAAAAAAAAAAAUGCAAGACAUGAGGUUAUACUUGAAAAUGCACAAAAAAAAUAAAAGAAAUGAAGAAUAAUCGAUCAAUAAGCAGGAAGACAACCAGUGAACUUCACCUCUGUAAGUCGUGAGAUCAAACCCAGAUACAAAACAAGUCUUCUCCAUCAAUCCCUCCCCUCCAAAUACAAAAGCUGUCCCCAAAGAAUGCAACCGAAUGUAUAUAUAUAAGCUCGAAAUCAAAUACAGACAAUGAAAGGUAAUCUCAUCACCGAACAGAGGCUAAAAUGGCAGCCACUACUAUAUAAUAUAUAUAGCCAGAAUGUAACAACAUGUUCAAAUUUAAAAAAAAAAAUAAAGAAGCUGAGAGAUAAGUCUAAAGUAGCCACCAGAAAACACUCCAUCCAAAGACCAACAUCCCACCCAUCUUCUGCAUUGACAACAGCCUUUCUACUCCACUCACAUCUGUGCCAGCUGGUCCUGGAGAGAUUGAACCCAAAAUGGGUGCGGGAGCCCCCGUGGGUGGAGCUGGUGGACUCGGCGCCAAGGGAGAUGGAGCUGGAGCCUUCAACUUCUUCUUGCUUGGAGCAGGAGCUGGAACCUGAGCAGGUGGAGGAGCGAGAGGAGCCGGUGGUGGUGUAGCAGGAGGAGGAGUUGCUGGUGGUGGUGUAGCAGGCGGAGGAGAUGCUGGUGGUGGAGUAGCCGGUGGAGGAGAAGCUGGAGGUGGAGUAGCGGGAGGAGGAGAUGCUGGUGGAGGAGUGGCUGGGGGAGGAGAUGCUGGUGGAGGAGUGGCUGGGGGAGGAGAUGCUGGUGGAGGAGUGGCUGGG